UACGGGGGGGGCAAGCGUUGUUCGGAAUUACUGGGCGUAAAGGGUUUGUAGGUGGCUUGCUAAGUCGGACGUGAAAUCCCUCAGCUUAACUGGGGAACUGCGUCUGAGACUGGUGAGCUUGAGUGCAGGAGAGGAACGCGGAAUUCCAGGUGUAGCGGUGAAAUGCGUAGAUAUCUGGAGGAACACCGGUGGCGAAGGCGGCGUUCUGGACUGCAACUGACACUGAGGAACGAAAGCCAGGGGAGCAAACGGG
rnacentral:rRNA from 1 species